GUCGACAACUGUCCAGAUAAAGCCCCUGUAUGUACAGCCCUCACCAGUUUGGUGAAGAUACUGAUAAACCAGCAUGAUCGAGCUUUUGGCCAAACUGCUCAUAUGAACACGGUAGACCAGCUAAAUACUGAUAAUACUACCAGAAACAGAGAACACUGGCUGGCCACAGGUCCUGACCUCACAGAUGUGGAAGGUUGACAGCAGCUGUUCUACAGGAGAACUCUCAUGUACACGUGGAACUCUCACUCUUUUAUACUGUAUGCUGGUCUAAAGUAGCUAAUUUCACUCACGCUUUCGCCAAUACACCAAGUAAAUAACUUUAAUUACAGUGCAUUUCAGACCACUCUGUCCAGAUAAAGCCCCCUUUAUGUUCAGCCCCCAUUACAAACAACGCCAGAGCCGAGCCGCGGCGGAAACACCCGAAGCGCUGCCGAAAGGACUGCGCAUGCGCCGCCGUCUCCUCCACAACAGCUAAAGAUUAUAGAGCUUCGCUUCUGAUUCGCAUCAAAACUGAAUUCAGGCCGAACCUCGACCCGGUAUCGGUCCGGAUCCGGCACGGGACACAGGAGCGAAGAACCGCGACAGCUGGAGAAAGCGGGCGGGCUGGUGCGCGCUCUAGCGCAGCGUUGAUUGUAAACACGGCGGGUAAACGGUGGGAAUAGCGGGGCGGCAGCGCGCGGGCGGCCGUGGCAGGCCGAGCGGGUUAAAGAGCGCACGGGCGGACACUGACCUGCGCGAGUCCGCCGCGUGCACGAGCCGCCGUCUUCACUCUAUCUCAACAAUCCGCUCCUCAGGAUCCGCGAGCGAGAGCCACAUCACCAAACAUCCCGGAAACCGAGGCGCAGCGCUGCGAUUGGACCCGCCGACUCCUGCCGAGGGACCGUCCACAAAGUGCAUGCGCGCAGGGGAAACGAAGUUCAUCGACUCACACCGUGCCCGGGUAGUUUCGGUUUCGCACUGCAGUCACACCCGAGACUCCGGACCACAGCCCACACCAAGAAAGAAGUGGCAGCCAAUCACACAGAGCGUACUCUCAAUCGGAAACAACCGUCUGCCUGGAGGACUGCAUUGGGGGACUCACCCAGAGCAGAGUAACCAAUUGACCUCAUCUCCAUAUUUUUGGAAUGUGGCAUGAAACCAGAAUUUGUGGAGGAAACCCACACAGACACAAGGAGAACAUGGAGGCUCCACCCAGAUAAGAACUGGAACCCAGAACUUUUGAGAAAUUCUGAGAGGCAAACCUGCUAAUCACCAAGCCAGCAUGCACCUUGAAUAACAGCAAACUCAAGUUGCAUUACUCAAUACAUUCAAAAAUUAUUGGUGUUGUUUACGCUGCAGACUGUGCUUAUGUGAUCUUACAACAUUGGAGGCAGAGCAAAGUUGAUUGCAGCCAAGCAUCAAAAAAGACCUUUAAGGAUUUAAAUUUUGGAUCUUAAUUUAUCACGUUACACAUUAGUUUUGGGAUCUUUUUUGCACUUUUUAGGAACAUUACCCCUCUAACAAAUACCUAACAAGCCAACCUGUAAGCCAAUGGGAGACUGUGCAUGUCUACAUAUGUGUGUGUGUCCUAGUACGUGUGA
rnacentral:lncRNA from 1 species